rnacentral:rRNA from 1 species
CAAUAGCGUAUAUUAAAGUUGUUGCGGUUAAAAAGCUCGUAGUUGGAUUUCUGCUGAGAACGACCGGUCCGCCCUUUGGGUGUGUAUCUGGCUCUUUCUUGGCAUCUUCUUGGUGAACGUUGCUGCACUUGACUGUGUGGAGCGCUACCCAGGACUUUUACUUUGAGGAAAUUAGAGUGUUUCAAGCAGGCAUACGCCUUGAAUACAUUAGCAUGGAAUAAUAAGAUAGGACCUCGGUUCUAUUUUGUUGGUUUCUAGAGCUGAGGUAAUGAUUAAUAGGGAUAGUUGGGGGCAUUCGUAUUCCGUUGUCAGAGGUGAAAUUCUUGGAUUUACGGAAGACGAACAUCUGCGAAAGCAUUUGCCAAGGAUGUUUUCAUUGA